UACGGGGGGAGCAAGCGUUGUUCGGAUUUACUGGGCGUAAAGGGCGCGUAGGCGGCCACCGCAAGUCGACUGUGAAAUCUCCGGGCUUAACCCGGAAAGGUCAGCCGAUACUGCGGGGCUAGAGUGCAGAAGGGGCAACUGGAAUUCUCGGUGUAGCGGUGAAAUGCGUAGAUAUCGAGAGGAACACCUGCGGCGAAGGCGGGUUGCUGGGCUGACACUGACGCUGAGGAGCGAAAGCAUGGGGAGCGAACAGG
rnacentral:rRNA from 1 species